GACGAACGCUGGCGGCGUGCUUAACACAUGCAAGUCGAACGGAAAGGCCCUGCUUUUGUGGGGUGCUCGAGUGGCGAACGGGUGAGUAACACGUGAGUAACCUGCCCUUGACUUUGGGAUAACUUCAGGAAACUGGUGCUAAUACCGGAUAGGAGCUCCUGCUGCAUGGUGGGGGUUGGAAAGUUUCGGCGGUUGGGGAUGGACUCGCGGCUUAUCAGCUUGUUGGUGGGGUAGUGGCUUACCAAGGCUUUGACGGGUAGCCGGCCUGAGAGGGUGACCGGCCACAUUGGGACUGAGAUACGGACCAGACUCCUACGGUAGGCAGCAGUGGGGAAUAUUGCACAAUGGGCGGAAGCCUGAUGCAGCAGCGCCGCGUGCGGGAUGACGGCCUUCGGGUUGUAAACCGCUUUCGCCUGUGACGAAGCGUGAGUGACGGUAAUGGGUAAAGAAGCACCGGCUAACUACGUG
rnacentral:rRNA from 1 species